rnacentral:rRNA from 1 species
CCUACGGGAGGCAGCAGUAAGGAAUAUUGGUCAAUGGAGGAAACUCUGAACCAGCCAUCCCGCGUGAAGGAUGAAGGGGCUCUGCCUUGUAAACUUCUUUUGAAUGGGACGAAAAAAGGGGAUUUAUCCUCGACUGACGGUACCAUUAGAAUAAGCACCGGCUAACUCCGUGCCAGCAGCCGCGGUAAU